rnacentral:rRNA from 1 species
AAAUUGAAGAGUUUGAUCAUGGCUCAGAUUGAACGCUGGCGGCAGGCCUAACACAUGCAAGUCGAACGGUAACAGGAAGCAGCUUGCUGCUUCGCUGACGAGUGGCGGACGGGUGAGUAAUGUCUGGGAAACUGCCUGAUGGAGGGGGAUAACUACUGGAAACGGUGGCUAAUACCGCAUCACGUCGCAAGACCAACGAGGGGGACCUUCGCGCCUCUUGCCAUCAGAUGUGCCCAGAUGGGAGUAGCUUGUUGGUGAGGUAACGGCUCACCCAGGCGACGAUCCCUAGCUGCACUGAGAGGAUGACCAGCCACACUGGAACUGAGACACGGUACAGACACCUACGGG